rnacentral:tRNA from 1 species
GGGGUUGUGGCUCAGCGGUAGAGCGCUUGCCUCACACAUUCAAGACCCUGAGUUCGAUCCUCAGCACCA